rnacentral:rRNA from 1 species
GCGUAUAUUAAAGUUGUUGCAGUUAAAACGCUCGUAGUCGGGUUUCGGGUCGGGCCGAGCGGUCUGCCGAUGGGUAUGCACUGUUUGGCGCGGCCUUCUUUCCGGAGACCGCGGCUACUCUUAACUGAGCGGGCGUGGGAGACGGAUCGUUUACUUUGAAAAAAUCAGAGUGUUUCAAGCAGGCAGCUCGCUCUUGCAUGGUACAGCAUGGGAUGAUUAAAUAGGACUCCGGUGCUAUUUUGUUGGUUUCGAACACCAGGAGUAAUGAUUAACAGGGACAGUCAGGGGCACUCGUAUUCCGUCGAGAGAGGUGAAAUUCUCAGACCAAUGGAAGACGAACCACUGCGAAAGCAUUUGCCAGGGAUGUUUUCACUGA